rnacentral:tRNA from 2 species
CGGGAAAUAGCUCAGCUUGGUAGAGCACCACGUUCGGGACGUGGGGGUCGCAGGUUCAAAUCCUGUUUUCCCGACCA